rnacentral:tRNA from 1 species
GGAUUGUAGGUCAGUGGUAGAGCGCUUGCCUAGCAUGUGUGAGGCACUGGGUUAGAUUCCUAGCACCA